rnacentral:rRNA from 1 species
AUACGUAGGUGGCGAGCGUUGUCCGGAUUUACUGGGCGUAAAGGAUGCGUAGGUGGAUGUUUAAGUCAGAUGUGAAAUACCCGAGCUUAACUUGGGUGCUGCAUUUGAAACUGGAUAUCUAGAGUGCAGGAGAGGUAAGUGGAAUUCCUAGUGUAGCGGUGAAAUGCGUAGAGAUUAGGAAGAACACCAGUGGCGAAGGCGACUUACUGGACUGUAACUGACACUGAGGCAUGAAAGCGUGGGUAGC